UCCGGUUUAUCACCGGCAGUUCCCCAUGAGUCCCCGGCAUUACCCGCUGGCAACAUAGGGCAAGGGUUGCGCUCGUUGCGGGACUUAACCCAACACCUCACGGCACGAGCUGACGACAACCAUGCACCACCUGUAUACGGCCCCGAAGGACACCAUAUCUCUAUGGCUUUUCCGCAUAUUUCAAGCCUUGGUAAGGUUCUUCGCGUUGCUUCGAAUUAAGCCACAUGCUCCGCCGCUUGUGCGGGCCCCCGUCAAUUCCUUUGAGUUUUAACCUUGCGGCCGUACUCCCCAGGCGGAUGACUUAACGCGUUAGCUGCGCCACCGAAACUCCAAGAGCCCCGACAGCUAGUCAUCAUCGUUUACGGCGUGGACUAC
rnacentral:misc_RNA from 1 species